CCUAGGCGACGAUCCCUAGCUGGUCUGAGAGGAUGACCAGCCACACUGGAACUGAGACACGGUCCAGACUCCUACGGGAGGCAGCAGUGGGGAAUAUUGCACAAUGGGCGCAAGCCUGAUGCAGCCAUGCCGCGUGUAUGAAGAAGGCCUUCGGGUUGUAAAGUACUUUCAGCGGGGAGGAAGGCGAUGGGGUUAAUAACCUUCUCGAUUGACGUUACCCGCAGAAGAAGCACCGGCUAACUCCGUGCCAGCAGCCGCGGUAAUACGGAGGGUGCAAGCGUUAAUCGGAAUUACUGGGCGUAAAGCGCACGCAGGCGGUCUGUUAAGUCAGAUGUGAAAUCCCCGGGCUUAACCUGGGAACUGCAUUUGAAACUGGCAGGCUUGAGUCUUGUAGAGGGGGGUAGAAUUCCAGGUGUAGCGGUGAAAUGCGUAGAGAUCUGGAGGAAUACCGGUGGCGAAGGCGGCCCCCUGGACAAAGACUGACGCUCAGUGCGAAAGCGUGGGACAAA
rnacentral:rRNA from 1 species